AUGUGACUGUGACCUGGCUGUAGCUUGUCCCGGUAGUUACUAGUUUGGGAUGUCAGCCAAGACUCAUGGUACUAAGGGAAUACCGUGCUUGGUGCCGGAGCAGGGCCGCACCAGUUAUCUCCUUGCGUGUUCAGAUCCAGAUCCAAACCUGACAGCAGAGAGGCUCUAGGAGGAAGACUCUCCUUUCCGUUUCUGCGCCGCUGUCAGUCUGGGCAGAACGGAGCCCCUGGGGUACGAGCGGAGCAGGGCAGGCGGGCUGCCCUCUUCAACCUGCUGCUGCGGCGCCAGGUUGGCAGGAGCCGAGUGUGAGGCACUGCACGUUUUGUGUGCUAACAGGCGGAAGCCUCUGUGGUGAUUUGCUUGAACAUAUGCGGUAAUAACAUUAAUUUAUGACUUUUGCAGAUUAUUACUGAUGCAGGUUUCUUCCCUGCCUUUGUGUGUGUGUGGUACAUACAUACGUGUAUUAAGUUUAGCGCAUUGCUUGCAACGCACUCCUGCUGCUUGGUUUCUUCUUUAGGGCGAGCAGCUGCUUCGUGUGGCACUGGAGAUCCCAGAAUGCAGCUGAGAGUCAGCUCGACCAAUAAAUCACCUCCGCAAUCCCGCCCCAUCCAUCCCUGCAUACCUAGGGACAGAGGACCAGCGCUACACCCAGCUGACAGAAAGGGAAUCGUGGAGAGGGACCAAGUGACUGGACGAAGGUCACGCAAGGCCGCUGUCAGAGAAAGGAAUCGCGCCUGGGCCUCUUGCAGCAGCGCCUGAGCAUGGCCUCCCGGGCUCUGAGUGCUCCUCAGCAAAAAGGAUUUCACAGUUUAAAAAGGGCCUAUGUUAGGGCCUGCCAUGCCUCAGAAGCCAGCAAGAACAGCAGCUCAGCAGAAGACACCUUUUAAUAUUUUUCCUUCCCGGGCAUCUUUGCAGCUUGCUCAGGAAAGACACACCAUCAUCAGAUAUGGACAGGUGGGCAGAGGAGAUGUGGAAUUUCCAGCAGAUACUUUGGGCUCCAGCUGGGGCUUGUGCGUCACACGCUCUCCUGUGGUGCGGUCGUCUGGGGCUGCGAAGCGCGGAGGAAGCACGGCAAACCUCGCAUUGCGAGAGGCAGCCGGAGUUGCCGAACUCUUUGCUGGUAUAAAAGCAACAUGGAUUCUCUUACAAAUUUUUCUGUGCAACUCUGUGCUGUCUGCUCUGUGCUUCCAGCACACGGUGCCAAGGGGUGGAAGGAGGCAGAGGGGAGGCCAGAAGCAGCCCGUCUUUUGCUGGUGCAAGAGCAGGACCUUCCAUCCGUUGCAGGAAUUAGGGUGGCUCCUGUGUCCCAGCGCGAGGUGGCUGAGGGCCACUGUCCCAGCAGCGCUCCCUGGUCCCAUGCACCCGUAUGGGUUGUAGACUCUGCCCCUAUAGAUAUAUGAUCAGUCUUAAUCGGAUUGCAUGAGGGGAGGGAAAGUGCGUGCUGCUCCCUGUGCGCGUGCAGUGGAUGAGAACGAAAUGCCAAAUAGCACUAACAAAAUUGUAUAUUUGAGUCUUUCAUUAGGCUUCUGAGUUCCUUCCUGACUCCAUGCAUUUUACUGCACAAUAUAGCACUGGAAGUCAUUAUUAUUAUUACAAAGAAUCACUAAUUCAAUAAACCCACUAUCCUACAUGAAUAACAUCCAUACAAUAUUAAUGCAUUUCCCCCAUCAUAUUCAUUGCAGAACACAAAAGCUGUUAAUAGAAUGCAAGAAGUCUUAAGGCAAGGAUGCCGUUAAUGCGAUAGUCACUAUUACCCAUGCAUUGCUAACGCUGAAUUGGAGUUCUGGAAAUUAUGAUUGCAAAGCAAAUUUUUUGGAUGCCAUUCAUAAAAAAAAAAUGGGUAAAAGUUAAAACUUCAGAUAGAAGUCGGAAAGCUGCCUGGCAUUACAUGAUAACAUGGCACUUUAUUAUCCCUCUUCAAUUGUUUGACGUUUAUGCCUCUGUUUAGCAAGUCUGUUCGUUAUCGUUCUCCAAUUAACAGAGACUUUUUCAGAUUAUUUUUAUGAAAUUCUCAUUUAAUUAGCAAUACAGCUAAGUCUCAAAUGGCAGUUUUAAAAAUAUCCUUCCACUGAUCAAGCAGCCAAAUGGUCUUUCUGAGAUAUUUGCAGAAUUGUAAACCUCCGUUUGCCUCCUAAUUAUCCCACCACUUAGAUGACGAGAAUGCAUACACCUGACAGUCAGGGGUUAUUCACUGGACGCUUUCAUUGCGCACAGCGUGGAAAAAUACAAAUUUCACUUAUUAAAACCUUCUCAUGGGCUCGUCUUUGAAUAAAGGAUGUGAUUUAUCAGACUUUUUUCAGAUUCUGCACAAUAGAGGGGGAAUUAAAAUAAUAGAUGACAAGUAAUAGAAAACAGGUGUGACUAGGAGACAUAAACCAAGCAUUCCACAGGCACAGAGCAAAAUGGGAGGAAAUACGUUUAUAAUAUGAUAAUGAAGGCAAAAAGUAAAAUAAAAUGAAAUAAAAUAAACAGUAAAAAUUCAUCGAAUGGGUCCUCCUGCUACCCAGCUGGAGACCAUUAUGGUAUUUAGCAACUAAUGCACAAAUGGGCUUAAAAUGCAUUUUUGCCAUAUAUUGAUGGGUGUAUAUAGCUUGGGUAGAAGAAUCCUUUAAUCUACCACUGAAGUGCUGCCACAUUUGCGAGGGAAUGUGGCAGCUUCCCAGAAGGUUUCUGCCAUUCAGAUCUCCCGCUGCACUGCGCUCUGCAAGAUGCUCCUUCUCCGCAGCUCCUCGCGAUAGAUUAGCAUAUGCAACUCACUGCAGCAAGACAGCUCCCUGUAUCCAACUCGCCCAGGUUAUUAGCAAAGGACUGGUUAUUAUUUGGAUAACAGGAAAACUCAGUUUCAUAGCAUAGGGUUUCAGGGCAAAAUAUCAAAUCUGAGUGGAAAUGAAACAGUUUUCGUUACGGGGUUUCUGUCUUGUUUUAGCAGGAGAUGAAACUUGACUUCUGGGUGAGAUGGUUGCCAGUGUCAGAGGCCAUUGUCGGAUGUUGUUGGUGUUACGCACGACCCAACGGGAAAGCUGGCUUGGCCCGGAAGGCUUUCCGGUGCUCCUGGCCUCAGUUGCCUUUAGACAGUCCUCAAGUCUAGAUGGGCAGGAAGAAGGUAAGCGAGACCCAGCCGUGGCCCUUGCAGCUGACUGAAAUGCACUUCAGCUCUGCAAGACUCCACAAACCAUCUUCACCAAAUGCAACAAGCUCCAAGAAAUGACUCCACGUUAGCGUUUGGGGGGCAGGGAGAAUACGUAUUAACACCUCCGCUUAGACAUUAAAGGAGAAUAAUAAAAUAGUCUGUUACUGCUAGAUAAGUAGAGACCGUACCUCAGAGAGUCACUUUGGAUCUCCAGCCACAGUAAUAUAUUGUUACGAAUCUCCAUCAGGGCACUUGUCGUGCAGCUAGAGAGUAUGUCUGACAUUGCCUCCAGUGACCUUUUCAAUAUAGUCCAAGUGCUGCAGAGCUGGUGUUUCAAGAGGAAUUCAAAUCGAAUUUACUCAGGCAGAAAGGCUUGGCCCCAGGAUAGCCCUACCACUCUCCUCGCAUUUCUCCGUGUCAUUCUCAUGUAAAUUGCAGUUCUUUAUGCAUGGUGGUUUUUCCCUGCACCACAGAAAAUGUGGCCGUUUAAACAACAACAACAACAGCCACCUCACUUACGGAGGAGGCCACCGUUCCCUGGAAAUCACUGCAUCGCAGGCAGCACCGCCGUUGUGGCGGUGGGAAGCGCCGGUGGCAGCAGCGGAGGGCGGAAGAUGAAGCUGCUAACUUUAGGACAGCCUAUCAAAAGGUCUUGAGCUGGUCCCAAAACUAGCUGGUGUGUAUCAAGCAGCCACCGUUGUGUUAAAGGAUGGAGCUCAUCGCCAUGGGAUGUUGUGAAUACCAGAGAUUUGUAUAAGCUCGAAAAGCACGUCGAGAAAUGCAUGAGAGAGAAAUUCAUUUAAGGCUAUGGAAGAGAAGGGGACAGCGAGGCAAGGGCAGCCGAGGAGGGAAGUCUCGCUGCUUGACACCAGUGGCCCCGGUGGGAGAUCUGUGUCCUUCCAGGGGGUAAAGUGCAUGGGCACGUGGCUGGUUUUCUUCAUGUUCUUUCCUGGCACAGAAUGAUUAUGUCAUACGUGUUCGUAUGAGAAGUGCUUUAAAAAGUAAUUUCUUUGAUUAAUUUGGUGUCUGUAUUUUCACUGUUUUGUUCACUCCAAUUUAUGACAAAAUUGAACAAAGUGGGUAACAAAAUAUAGCCCUGUCAGCCUCCUGUCUUCGCGGAUAUAAAGAAAAAUGCGAAACUGUCAGGCACACAAAUGUGCCAAACCCCAAGGAAAAUUAUUACAUUCUGCUUGACAUUUACUUUAAUUUUACAAAAUUCUGUAAUACCAUUAUAAAUAAUAAUAAUAAA